rnacentral:lncRNA from 1 species
ACUUUCCUGUGGGGGUAAUCACACGGGUGUGCUGAGGUUCUGUCCUUAUCUAUCCACCUAUGCCAGCACAGCUGGGUACUGAACAGGAUAGAGAAGCAAGGGGCCCGUGUUAUGUGUGGACACAAGGAACAGCAAAAGAAUGAUAUAAAGCACUCCUGUAGCUCCUACUGCAACAGCCUGGUUAAUUUCAGGUCUCCUUAAAGCUGAAUCUUGCAUCACAAAGGGUACAUUUCCAUGCAAGAACAAAAUGGUGACAAUCUCUCUUUGGUGGGAUCCUCAGGAACCUGCUGGAUCAUAACCAAAUUGAAGCCAUCACUUUACAAUGGACGUAAUUCUUCACCUUGCAUCUCCUGUAAGAAUAUACUCAUCUUUUCUACCUUGCCACCUAAGAUCUGUAUUUAAAAAGACAGAAAACAAAUGAAUAUUUUGUUGUUGAGGGUUUUGUUUGUUUGUUUUUGCUUUUGUCUUUCCCCAUUGGUGAUGGUGAGUGUUUAAUCACACUUUCAUCAGAACGUGAAUUUCUCUUUGGAUUUCUCUCUGGGCUGCAGUGGCUGAUCCUGGCUCAGAAAGAGACCUCAGGCUUCUGAUCCCAAUGGACUCUCCUGUUUUGUCCAGAUCUGGCUGCUCUUCUUAGUUCCCUGAAAGGCCUUAAGGCACACAGAGAAAAAACUGCACAUGUGUAUAUAUAUGUUUAUGUGGGCAAGAUGUGCGUAUAUAUUCCCAGGGGUUUUAUAUUAAUGCUUUAUAAAAGGAGAAUUCCUAUUGGAGAAAAAAAUAUAUAUAAUAAACCAUGAGUUUUCUUCUGAACUGUUGUCA